rnacentral:rRNA from 1 species
AAAAGCGACUAUACCACGUUGAAAGCACCGGUUCUCGUCCGAUCACCGAAGUUAAGUGCGUCGGUGGCGCAGCGGUUAGGAUGCUCGCC